CUCACCCCUAGAGUCAUUGCUGGUGGGGAUUCUGUGUCACAUGGGUGUCAAUAGAUGGCAGAGAGGAGAGAGAUUUUGUCUAUAAUGCUCAGUGUUCUGACCUAGGAACAUCAGAAGGAUUAGUAGUGAAACAAU